rnacentral:rRNA from 1 species
GGCGAACCGGGGGAACUGAAACAUCUAAGUACCCCGAGGAAAAGAAAUCAACCGAGAUUCCCCCAGUAGCGGCGAGCGAACGGGGAGGAGCCCAGAGCCUGAAUCAGUGUGUGUGUUAGUGGAAGCGUCUGGAAAGGCGCGCGAUACAGGGUGACAGCCCCGUACACAAAAAUGCACAUAUUGUGAGCUCGAUGAGUAGGGCGGGACACGUGGUAUCCUGUCUGAAUAUGGGGGGACCAUCCUCCAAGGCUAAAUACUCCUGACUGACCGAUAGUGAACCAGUACCGUGAGGGAAAGGCGAAAAGAACCCCGGCGAGGGGAGUGAAAAAGAACCUGAAACCGUGUACGUACAAGCAGUGGGAGCCUCUUAAUGGGGUGACUGCGUACCUUUUGUAUAAUGGGUCAGCGACUUAUAUUCUGUAGCAAGGUUAACCGAAUAGGGGAGCCGAAGGGAAACCGAGUCUUAACUGGGCGUUAAGUUGCAGGGUAUAGACCCGAAACCCGGUGAUCUAGCCAUGGGCAGGUUGAAGGUUGGGUAACACUAACUGGAGGACCGAACCGACUAAUGUUGAAAAAUUAGCGGAUGACUUGUGGCUGGGGGUGAAAGGCCAAUCAAACCGGGAGAUAGCUGGUUCUCCCCGAAAGCUAUUUAGGUAGCGCCUCGUGAAUUCAUCUCCGGGGGUAGAGCACUGUUUCGGCAAGGGGGUCAUCCCGACUUACCAACCCGAUGCAAACUGCGAAUACCGGAGAAUGUUAUCACGGGAGACACACGGCGGGUGCUAACGUCCGUCGUGAAGAGGGAAACAACCCAGACCGCCAGCUAAGGUCCCAAAGUCAUGGUUAAGUGGGAAACGAUGUGGGAAGGCCCAGACAGCCAGGAUGUUGGCUUAGAAGCAGCCAUCAUUUAAAGAAAGCGUAAUAGCUCACUGGUCGAGUCGGCCUGCGCGGAAGAUGUAACGGGGCUAAACCAUGCACCGAAGCUGCGGCAGCGAC